CUCCUCCCAGCAACUGUGCAACAACGGCCAACUCGGCGCAGCCAACUGACGUAAACCAGACCGCCUCUUCCGGGCGCCUUGUGUGACGUCAUAUCCAGGCGUGGAAGCGGUGGUUCCUGGCCGCGUCUUCGGAGAGACCGCGAGGUAGAAAAGCGGUUCGCAGUGAAUUAUAUGGGCCUGUGUUUGGCUGUAUUCCUUGGUUUUUGGCGAAGUUAAGUCCUUGGAGAGUGCUUGACUCGCAGCCCCAGAUUGCAGGGGACUGAGAGAGGGAUGGGCCUAUGCAGCCUUGACAGAUUUGGUCAGUGAGGCGAAGGAAACAAAUGCAAACUAGCCCCAUCUGUCAUGGCCAAGGUCCUUGGGAAACGGGAUCAGAGGAGGUGGGAGCUGAGCGAUCCAGGUGGUUGUUACUUACCAGAGAUGUGCCGGUUUUGAGGAACUUAGUGCGGGCAACCACCAUAGGGACGUUCCGCUUCUUAUCAGACGGAACUGUGAUUAUGAGAAAGGAAACCCAGUUGCGCUGGCUCUUUGUUGCCACUGGUUUGGGGCAAACGGCGGGGCGGUGAAGGAAUGCGUGAUAGCAACGGAGAAGGCACGUCCUGCCUGAUCUUUAGGCAGUCUCCCACCCGGUUGCCCUGGGCUGGCCUGCCUGCUCAGCUGUUCCCACCGGACUCAAGGAAGCUUGGCAGUUGCAGGCAUCACUCCGUGGGUCCAUCACUGCAGAGUGAAAAAGGCCCAUCAUCCUGACAAAGAAACACAUCAGUGGAGGGCCCAGCCAGGCCUCCAGAAUUCUCUCCACCUCUGCAUCUGACUAUUGUCCUCUGGCUAAUGGACAUCUGCACGCCAUGGAUCCUGGCCCUCACUGGAGUGAUAUCUUUCAUCCUAGGCAUUGAACUCUCUGCUGUUGCCCUCCUCCCCCCCACUGGACUAUU